GGGGUAUUUUUUAAAAUCCGCACAUAUGUCGUCACAUUUCUCUGGGUGCCUGAAAGGGUGGAGGAUGCGGACAUAUGGAGGCCUAAC
rfam:Acinetobacter sp. ANC 3832 Contig5, whole genome shotgun sequence.